CCUACGGGGGGCAGCAGUGAGGAAUAUUGGUCAAUGGACGAGAGUCUGAACCAGCCAAGUAGCGUGAAGGAUGACUGCCCUAUGGGUUGUAAACUUCUUUUAUAUGGGAAUAAAAUGUUCCACGUGUGGGAUUUUGUAUGUACCAUAUGAAUAAGGAUCGGCUAACUCCGUGCCAGCAGCCGCGGUAAUACGGAGGAUCCGAGCGUUAUCCGGAUUUAUUGGGUUUAAAGGGAGCGUAGGUGGAUUGUUAAGUCAGUUGUGAAAGUUUGCGGCUCAACCGUAAAAUUGCAGUUGAAACUGGCAGUCUUGAGUACAGUAGAGGUGGGCGGAAUUCGUGGUGUAGCGGUGAAAUGCUGAGAUAUCACGAAGAACUCCGAUUGCGAAGGCAGUUCACUGGACUGCAACUGACACUGAGGCUCGAAAGUGUGGGUAUCAAACAGGAUUAGAUACCCCUGUAGUC
rnacentral:rRNA from 1 species